CCUACGGGUGGCAGCAGUAGGGAAUUGUCGGCAAUGGGCGAAAGCCUGACCGCGCGACGCCGCGUGGAGGAAGACGGCCUUCGGGUUGUAAACUUCUUUUAUGAGGGACGAUUAUGACGGUACCUCACGAAUAAGGGGCUGCUAACUACGUGCCAGCAGCAGCGGUAAUACGUAGGCCCCGAGCAUUAUCCGGAAUUAUUGGGCGUAAAGAAUGUGUAGGUGUUCCUACAAGUCGGUCGUUAAAUCUCACCGCCUAACGGUGAGGCCGCGAGCGAAACUGUAGGAAUUGAGGUUUGCAGGGGCAAGUAGAAUUCUUGGAGUAGGGGUGAAAUCCGUUGAUACCAAGAGGAAUACCAAUGGCGAAGGCAGCUUGCUGGGCAAUACCUGACACUGAGACAUGAAAGCGUGGGGAGCAAACGGGAUUAGAUACCCUGGUAGUC
rnacentral:rRNA from 1 species